AUUGAACGCUGGCGGCAGGCCUAACACAUGCAAGUCGAACGAGUGGCGGACGGGUGAGUAAUGUCUGGGAAACUGCCCGAUGGAGGGGGGUAACUACUGGAAACGGUAGCUAAUACCGCAUACCAUCGGAUGUGCCCAGGUGGGAUUAGCUAGUAGGUGGGGUAACGGCUCACCUAGGGGACGAUCCCUCGCUGGUCUGAGAGGAUGAACAGCCACACUAGAACUGAGAGACGGUACAGACGCCUACGGGAGGCAGCAGGGGGGAAUAUUGCACGAUGGGCGCAAGCCUGAUGCAGCCAUGCCGCGUGUAUGAAGAAGGCCUUCGGGUUGUAAAGUACUUUCAGCGAGGAGGCGGUACUCGCAGAAGAAGCACCGGCUAACUCCGUGCCAGCAGCGCGGUAAUUC
rnacentral:rRNA from 1 species